UGUGAGAUGGCCGAGCGGUCUAAGGCGAUAGGUUAAGGUCAACAACCAUAGCACGUUCCCAGUGGAGCAAUCUUCAUGGGUUCGAAUCCCAUGCUCAUAA
rnacentral:tRNA from 1 species